CGCCGUCAUUCGUGAAUCAUGCGCCGCCCAUCCAGCCGCAGGCCGACUUCUCCGGUCUUGAGCGGCAAUUGUUCCAGAUCACCAGCCAGAUCGAAAUGCUGCGCCGGCCCGACGGCAUGGAGCAGUCGAUUGCUUCGUUCCGCAGCGAGCUGGCCGAGAUUCGGCAGGCAAUCACCGAGGCGCUGCCACGCCGCGCGAUCGAAUCCCUCGAAGGUGAAAUCCGAUC
rnacentral:misc_RNA from 1 species